GACAGAGGGUGCGAGCGUUAUCCGGAAUUAUUGGGCGUAAAGCGUGUGUAGGCGGAAUAGUAAGUCGGGGGUUAAAUCUACGAGCUCAACUCGUAGCUUGUUCCCGAAACUACUAAUCUAAGAAGUAUGGAGAGGCAGGUGGAAUUCUGUGUGUAGGGGUAAUAUCCGUAGAUACAUGGAGGAACGCCAAAAGUGAAGACAGCCUGCUGGCCAUAUCUUGACGCUGAGACACGAAAGCGUGGGGAGCAAACAGG
rnacentral:misc_RNA from 1 species